rnacentral:lncRNA from 1 species
CACUGGAUAUUUUGUUUUUCUUUAUCAUCUGGGCCGCACCCAGAGGGCGGUAGUGGAUGGGUUCUUCUCGACCUGGAAGGACGUGGGCAGUGGGGUUCCGCAGGGCUCGGUCCUCGGGCCCGCACUGUUCAACAUCUUCAUCAGUGACUUGGAUGAGGGGGUAGAAAGCACCCUGUUCAAGUUUGCUGAUGACACUAAGAUGUGGGGGGAUGUGGGUGCACUAGAAGGGUGCAAUAGGCUACAAGCUGACCUUGACAGGUUGCAACGGUGGGCGGAUGAGAAUAGGAUGGGGUUUAACACUGAUAAGUGCAAGGUGUUGCACAUGGGGAGGAAGAACCGGCACCACACUUACAGGUUGGGGAACUCCCCUCUUGCCAGCACGGAGACGGAAAAGGAUCUUGGAGUCGUCAUUGACUCCACGAUGAACAUGGGCCGGCAGUGUGGGGAGGCAGUCAAGAAGGCCAACCGUACCCUGUCAUGCAUCCACAGAUGCAUCUCGAGCAGGUCCAGGGAGGUGAUCCUCCCUCUCUAUGCGGCACUGGUCAGGCCGCAGCUGGAGUACUGCGUCCAGUUCUGGGCGCCACACUUCAAGAGGGACGUGGACGAUAUGGAAAGAGUUCAGAGGAGGGCCACUCGUAUGAUCAGGGGUCAGCAGGGCAGGCCUUAUGAGGAGAGGCUAAGGGACCUGAACCUGUUUAGCCUCCACAAGAGAAGGUUAAGGGGGGACCUUGUGGCCUGCUACAAACUAGUCAGGGGGGAUCAGCAGGUAUUGGGGGAGUCCCUGUUCCCCCGUGCGCUGCCAGGAGUGACCAGGAAUAACGGUCACAAGCUGGCGGAGGGUAAGUUUAGAUUAGAUAUUAGGAGGCGCUACUUCACAGUCAGGGCGGCUAGGGCCUGGAACCGGCUUCCAGGGGAAGUGGUGCAGGCUCCAAGCCUGGGGAUUUUUAAAAGGAAGUUAGAUGAGCACCUUGCCGGGGUCAUCUGACCCCGGUGCUCUUUCCUGCUCAGGCAGGGGGUCGGACUAGAUGAUCUACCUAGGUCCCUUCCGACUCUAGCUACUAUGAAACUAUGAAACUAUCUUCCCUGCCCUCAUGAAACAGUGACAGGGCAGGAACCUUCUGAGGUGGCAGAGGGACUCCCACAGGUCAGAAGAGAUGACCGGGACCAGCUG